rnacentral:rRNA from 1 species
GGAGUUUGGACCGUCUCUCAGUUCCAAUGUGGCCGAUCACCCUCUCAGGUCGGCUACCGAUCGUCGACUUGGUGGGCCGUUACCUCACCAACUAUCUAAUCGGACGCGAGCCCACCCCAAACCGGUUUCCACCUUUUACCCCAGGAAGAUGUCUCCCCGUGGUCUCAUGCGGUAUUAGCACCUGUUUCCAAGUGUUAUCCCCCCUGUCUGGGACAGGUUGCUCACGCGUUACUCACCCGUCCGCCACUAGAAUUAUCAACCUUCCAGCCGAA